rnacentral:lncRNA from 1 species
UGGGCAAUGGCGGGCGCCCCUCCCCCCGCCUCGCUGCCGCCUUGCAGUUUGAUCUCAGACUGCUGUGCUAGCAAUCAGCGAGACUCCGUGGGCGUAGGACCCUCCGAGCCAGAUGUGCCUUGCUUCUCCUUCAUUUUCUGCCAUGACUGUAAGUUCCCUGAGGCCUUCCCAUCCAUGUGGAACUGCAUUCUAAUAUAUGCAUUCUUCAUAACAACUGUGUGAAACAUAUUAAUAUCCUCAUUGUUAACGAUGAAGAAACUAAAUCUCAGGAAGAAAAACUAAGUGAAGACAAAAGAAGGAUUUGAACUGAGAUUAUUCUGGGAGAUUCUGGGAGUCUUUUCUCCAACACUCCAGUGGCAUCUGACUAUGUGAGCUGAUAAGAUCUAUAGAUCUGUGAGUUGGCAGAGCUGUGAAAAGUUUCUCCCUUCUUAGGACAUAAGCAGGAAAUCUUGAUACAGGAAUCAAUAAGGGGAAAGAGAAAAUGUUUAUUAGAACAAAUUUAUUAUAU